GACGAACGCUGGCGGCGUGCCUAAUACAUGCAAGUCGAGCGAAUGACGAGAAGCUUGCUUCUCUGAUUUAGCGGCGGACGGGUGAGUAACACGUGGGCGACCUGCCCUACAGAUUGGGAUAACUCAGGGAAACCUGGGCUAAUACCGGAUAAUCCUUCGAAUCACAUGUUUUGAAGUUGAAAGGCGCUUCGGCGUCACUGUAGGAUGGGCCCGCGGUGCAUUAGCUAGUUGGUGGGGUAACGGCCUACCAAGGCAACGAUGCAUAGCCGACCUGAGAAGGUGAUCGGCCACAUUGGGACUGAGACACGGCCCAAACUCCGACGGGAGGCAGCAGUAGGGAAUCUUCCACAAUGGACGAAAGUCUGAUGGAGCAACGCCGCGUGAGUGAUUAAGGUUUUCGGAUCGUAAAACUCUGUUGUAAGGGAAGAACAAGUACGUUAGGAAAUGAACGUACCUUGACGGUACCUUAUUAGAAAGCCACGGCUAACUACGUGCCAGCCGCCGCCGUAA
rnacentral:rRNA from 1 species